rnacentral:rRNA from 1 species
AAGCGGUACGCGAGCUGGGUUCAGAACGUCGUGAGACAGUUCGGUCCCUAUCUGUCGUGGGCGUUGGAGAUUUGAGAGGUGCCGUCCCUAGUACGAGAGGACUGGGAUGGACAGACCUCUGGUGUGCCGGUUGUCGCGCCAGCGGCAGCGCCGGGUAGCUACGUCUGGUUCGGAUAACCGCUGAAAGCAUCUAAGCGGGAAGCCGUCCUCAAGAUAAGAUCUCCCGGAGGGUUUAACCCUCCCUCAAGGCCUCUGGUAGACCACCAGUUUGAUAGGCUGGAGGUGGAAGGGUCGUAAGAUCUGAAGCUAACCAGUACUAAUCGGCCGUGCGUUUUAGAUUC